UACCAAUCAAUGCGCAUUGCAGUUACUCGUUUAUUCUUCCAGCUCAGCUAUCGAAUCAUUUAGUUGUAACGUAUAUCUGUUUGAUGAGCAAAUAAUAAGGCGUCGUGUGGAUGUUGUACAAUUUAAUGAUGUAAGAUAAAUUUAUUUGUUGUAGCAUUGCAUCAGUUGAUACAGGAAUACAAAAUUUAUCAUGAUGUUGUUCAAUGCGCACUUUCAAAGAAGAAACUGGAAGUUCAAGAAAAUUAAGAGGACAUAGGAAUGCAUUUCUUUUGCCUUUUUGUUCACGUUUUGUAUUUGGUCAGCUCGUUCUAUUUGCCUAAAGCACGACGCAAAUCCACACUUCAAUAAAAAGUAACAACUUAUCUGUAGCACCCAGCAAGAAGGUUACGCAGCCAGAACACAAAACUACUUUAAAAGAAAUAAAUGAAUCUAGCAACAAAGAUAUCAUCCACUUAGUUAGGGAACUUGAAGUGUCUGGAAUAAAAAAUUCUUGCUAAUACAAAUGUGGAAGAAUCAUGCCCUUCUUCUAUUGUAUUGAG